CACUGAUUGUCGUUGUUCAGCCAUGCGGGAAAGCAAUUACUCGCCUGACCUAUAGACAACUAACCAGCUUUGGGUCUUGUAGGCGAGGUAUAUGUAUAUGGACAGCUGAGGGGGUCUCUUACGUUCCAUGUACAUGGUGGAAGCGUUGACAAAGCCCUCUCGAGUAUGAAGCUGUUCAUGAUUGGUACGCUGCUAGCACUAAUAAUCGUCGUUCAGAUGCUGGGGGGUGGCACCCAGGGAGCCGCAGUCGAGCAGCAUAUGUGGGUAGAAGGAAGGGCGUCAUGCCGGGCUUACAGGUGCACGGGUUCCAGCGACUGUGGUUCCGGUUGUUUCUGCGCCGGUGCUAUUGGCGGUAAUUAUAACACGUGCAGGCCUUUCAGGGCAAAUAAAUAAACGUUUGCAAUUACU